AUUUUUUUAGUAGCUGCCGGAUUCGUUGCCAACUUCAUUUUAGUGCACGCAGUGCGUUUGUGCGAAACGCACGUGUUGGUGUGUUUGGCGCCAAUCGGUCCGUCAGACCGACGCGAGUAUAGGCGUAACUUUUAUCAUAUAUAUUAUUAUUAUUACAAGAUGGAUGAGCGGGCAAUUAGAUUGCUUUUGGAGGAAGAAAGUUCCGAAUCCGAUUAUGGGGAUGAAAAUGACAGUGAGGUGGAAGAUUUUGUUGAGGUAAAUGACGAAACUUAUGACACCGAGCAGGAUGGUGAUGAAGAAGAUGGCGAAGAGUUGGGCGAAGUGGAAAAUGUUCAAAGUUCGCGAGAAUUUUAUCUUGGGAAGGAUGGUCGGACACGUUGGAAUAAAGCUCCUGCAACAACCCAUGUGAGACGACGCGCUCGAAAUAUUGUCACCCAGCUUCCAGGACCAAAAGGAGAAGCCAAGAAUUUGAAGGAGCCAGGUGAAAUUUGGAGGUUGUUUUUUCCGGAAAGCGUCAUAAAUCGAAUUGUGAAGUGCACCAAUGAGCAUAUAAAUAUAAUAAAGUCUAAUUUCGCAAGGGAAAGAGACUGUUCUGAGACUGACAAUAUAGAAAUUGAAGCAUUUCUCGGCCUUUUACUCUUUGCCGGAGUCAGAAGAAACAGUCGCUUGAAUUCCAAAGAUUUAUUCAAAACUGAUGGCUCGUCACCGGAAAUAUUUCGUUUGACUAUGAACUGGACUAGAUUCUGUUUAUUGAUGCGUUGUCUA